rnacentral:tRNA from 1 species
GGGUCGGUACCAAAGCGGUCAACUGGAGCAGACUGUAAAUCUGCUGGCUUACGCCUUCGGGGGUUCGAAUCCCUCCCGGCCCACCA